CCACCUGCAGCGCCUCAACCGUCUCUUAGCUACGCUGGUUGAUGAAACUCGACGCCUUCCUGCUUCUCUUUUCAGUUCAUCUUCAUGAGACAAAGAGCCGUCAUGCUGCAGGACGAAUUCAUCUGGUUUUACUGAUCAUUUAUAAAUCCAUCAUAUCAGCUGAUGAGGACAGAGGUUAUGAUCCACCACCACAAUUUCAGAUUUUCUCUACAGACACACAGAGGACAAACGGCAGGAUGUCUGGAUUUAACUCCUCUGUGUUUUUAACGUUUGUUUUUGUGCUUUGGACGGUUCAGGUUAAACCAGAAACUGAGAUCUUCUGCAUUUUCAUGCAGCGCUGCAU